UAAAUAGCUAUGAAAGGGACGAGUUUCUGUUGUAUUGCUACAGAGAGCCGGAAAUUGCUGAAAUCCGGUGCAUGAGGCUGGAAUACUUCUCACCCUGGAGCUGCCAGUUUAAAGAUUAUUUCUAUUAGACUAGGUCGGGUUUUUGAUACCCGUUAUCAAAAUUGUGUUUAUUUGGACACUUGAGUGGCUCAUCAUUUUAAUGGUGUGGCAAUCAGGGUGGUACCACGUGAGGUAUAAAACCUUUCGUCCCUGGC
rnacentral:ncRNA from 1 species